AUUCGUAGUGAUACGAAAGUGUAAUAGAAGCACAUUACACUGCUUGGCAGAGCUUAAGAACUGUU
rnacentral:sRNA from 17 species